rnacentral:rRNA from 1 species
GAUGAACGCUGGCGGCGUGCCUAAUACAUGCAAGUCGAGCGAACGGACGAGAAGCUUGCUUUUCUGAUGUUAGCGGCGGACGGGUGAGUAACACGUGGAUAACCUACCUAUAAGACUGGGAUAACUUCGGGAAACCGGAGCUAAUACCGGAUAAUAUUUUGAACCGCAUGGUUCAAAAGUGAAAGACGGUCUUGCUGUCACUUAUAGAUGGAUCCGCGCUGCAUUAGCUAGUUGGUAAGGUAACGGCUUACCAGGGCAACGAUGCAUAGCCGACCUGAGAGGGGGAUCGGCCACACGGGAACUGAGACACGGUCCAGACUCCUACGGGAGGCAGCAGUAGGGAAUCUUCCGCAAUGGGCGAAAGCCUGACGGAGCAACGCCGCGUGAGUGAUGAAGGUCUUCGGAUCGUAAAACUCUGUUAUUAGGGAAGAACAUAUGUGUAAGGAACUGUGCACAUCUUGACGGUACCUAAUCAGAAAGCCACGGCUAACUACGUG